rnacentral:rRNA from 1 species
AAGGACGGGCUAAGUUCGUGCCAGCAGCCGCGGUAACACGAACCGUCCAAACGUUAUUCGGUAUCACUGGGCUUAAAGCGUGCGUAGGCGGCUUGGAAAGUCAGAUGUGAAAUCCUACAGCUUAACUGUAGAACUGCAUUUGAAACUUCUAAUCUAGAGUAUGGGAGGGGGAGAUGGAAUUAGUGGUGUAGGGGUAAAAUCCGUAGAUAUCACUAGGAAUACCGAAAGCGAAGGCGAUCUCCUGGAACAUAACUGACGCUAAGGCGUGAAAGCGUGGGGAGCAAACGGGAUUAGAUACCCCGGUAGUCCACGCCCUAAACGAUGAACACUAGUCGUCGGGAUGCUAGUCAUCUCGGUGAUGCACUUAACAGAUUAAGUGUUCCGCCUGGGGAGUACGGUCGCAAGAUUAAAACUCAAAGGAAUAGACGGGGACCCGCACAAGUGGUGGAGCAUGUGGUUUAAUUCGAAGAUACGCGAAGAACCUUACCUAGCCUUGACAUUGAAGAAACACACUAGAGAUAGAGUGGUGCCCUUCGGGGAAUCUGAAAACAGGUGCUGCACGGCUGUCGUCAGCUCGUGUCGUGAGAUGUUGGGUUAAGUCCCGCAACGAGCGCAACCCUCGUCCUUAGUUGCCAGCAGGUUAAGCUGGGCACUCUAAGGAGACUGCCUUCGUAAGGAGGAGGAAGGUGAGGACGACGUCAAGUCAUCAUGGCCCUUAUGGCUAGGGCUACACACGUGCUACAAUGGGGCGUACAGAGAGUUGCGAUACCGCGAGGUGGAGCCAAUCUCAUAAAGCGUCUCUCAGUUCGGAUUGAAGUCUGCAACUCGACUUCAUGAAGCUGGAAUCACUAGUAAUCGUAGAUCAGCAAUGCUACGGUGAAUACGUUCCCGGGUCUUGUACUCACCGCCCGUCACACCAUGGGAGUUGAUUUCACCCGAAAUUGGGAAGCUAACCUUCGGGAGGCUACCACUUACGGUGGAAUUAGCGACUGGGGUGAAGUCGUAACAAGGUAACU